rnacentral:rRNA from 1 species
UACAGAGGGGGCAAGCGUUGUUCGGAAUUACUGGGCGUAAAGGGCGCGUAGGCGGCCUGUUAAGUCGGACGUGAAAUCCCCGGGCUCAACCCGGGAACUGCGUCCGAUACUGGCAGGCUUGAAUCCGGGAGAGGGAUGUGGAAUUCCAGGUGUAGCGGUGAAAUGCGUAGAUAUCUGGAGGAACACCGGUGGCGAAGGCGCAUCCUGGACCGGCAUUGACGCUGAGGCGCGAAAGCCAGGGGAGCAAAGCGGG